CCAGCAACAAUAUUGUACCUACUUGAAAUAUAGAAAAGAUAAAAAAAGAACGGACCCACAAUAAUACAUACUGUUCUGAUUUCCACGAUUUUUCUUUUUGGUUUUCCUUUCUAAUCUUUUUUGUUCCCAAUAUUAUAAUUAUUAU
rnacentral:ribozyme from 14 species